UACGUAGGUGGCAAGCGUUGUCCGGAUUUACUGGGCGUAAAGAGCGCGCAGGCGGUCGUUCAAGUCGCGUGUGAAAGCCCCCGGCUCAACUGGGGAGGGUCACGCGAUACUGAUCGACUCGAAGGCAGGAGAGGGAAGUGGAAUUCCCGGUGUAGUGGUGAAAUGCGUAGAUAUCGGGAGGAACACCUGUGGCGAAGGCGGCUUUCUGGGCCUUACCUGACGCUGAGACGCGAAAGCGUGGGGAGCGAACCGGG
rnacentral:rRNA from 1 species